GACGAACGCUGGCGGCGUGCUUAACACAUGCAAGUCGAACGACGUGGCGAACGGGUGAGUAAUACGUGGGUAACCUGCCCUCCUUUUUGGGAUAAGCCUUGGAAACGGGGUAUAAUACCGAAUAAAGGGGGAUGGGCUCGCGGCCUAUCAGCUUUGUGGUGGGGGGAUGGCCUACCAAGGCGUUGACGGGUAGCCGGCCUGAGAGGGUGACCUGCUACAUUGGGACUGAGAUACGGCCCAGACUGCUACGGGAGGCAGGAGUGGGGGAUAGUGCGAAAUGGGCGAAAGCCUGAUGCAGCGACGCCGCGUGGGGGAUGAAGGUUUUCGGGUGGUAAACCUCUUUCGCUAUCGACGGGGUAGGUGGAGAAUAAGCGCCGGCUAACUACGUGCCAGCAGCCGCGGUAAUAC
rnacentral:rRNA from 1 species